rnacentral:lncRNA from 1 species
CCUAUCAAUAAUCAUGGAAAUGUAUUCCAAAAAUACAGAACAUACACAAUUUAUUAACAAAAAUGCAACUCUUUAGUCAUAGGUUAAUCUUGACAAUAACAGGAGGAAAAUAAUCCACAGCAUCAUCAAAUUCAAACGACGCCAUACAAAACAAAAACAACAUAAUGUAAUAGUAACGGGAGAAUGGUCAUCACAAUGUCAUUGGAUUUGCAAAAUAUAUAACAAGUUUGAUGCUUAUGCUUUGUUUGUAAUACCUGUGUAGGAAAUCAAAGGUGCAGCAACAAUACGGCGCAACCGACUCGUUGUUCCGGCUUUGAAACUCUAUUUGGACUUGGUAAUAACUUGACUUCGUUCGCUAGAAUGGAGAGCUUCGCCGAGCUUACGAUGUACUCUUGAACCGGUGUUGUCGGCACCGUAAAAAGUUUUCAACUCAGAGGGUGUUGGAUCCAAAACUACAACAAAUAAAAUCACCUGCAAAAAAAAACAACACCCACAAGUGGAAACAGAUUGCAAUAAACGACGAGUCUCAGAAACAUUGAUCAAUAUUUGCCGAAAGAGUUCAGUUGAUAUCCGGCACAACUCAGCAGCUGUGUUGAAACGAAAUCGAUGUCGAGAUUUAAAGUGGACUUGUGAAGGCCGCGAGCGAGUUUUACGGCAUGGCAGGAGUUGUCAUGGGCGUGUGGUUGAACAAUUAUGUUGCAAAUUGUUGGUGGAGCUGCGAAAUUGAAGAGGUCUUGUGGAGGUGGAGACGGAGCGGAAAGAUUUUGAGGUUUAUGAGGUGUAGAAGGGGGUUUCCGACGUCUGUAGCGGUUUGGAUUAGGUGUAGGAGCUAGAGGGAGAUCGAUUGUUGGCGUUGAGAAAUGGAUUCACGACGGUUAUGGGUUGAGGAUGGAGGCCGACGUGUUUUGUUGUGAUUGCCGACGGAGGCGUGGUUUCCGGCAAUUCAACGAAGGGUGAAGGAGAGAUGAACAGUGAGAGACCUUUUUUUUCGUUUUUUUAAGAGAGGGUGACAGUCAUUAAAGAGUGUGAGGUAGCGUGAGGGAGUGAGAGAGAUGAUGGAGAGUGAUUUUGUGUGUGGCUCUAGGUAAUAGGCAAAGAGAGUCUAUGUAUGUGAGUGGAGAGAAACGUGUUGAAGAAGAGAGGAGUUGAGUGAGCUGUCAACUAAAAAAAAAAGAGAAUCCAAUGUUAUCUUAUUCUAAUAUUAUUAUUUUGAAAUCAUUAUUGUUAUUUAUUUUUAACUAAAAAUAUGAUAUCACAAAUAAAAAUUCAAAUUAUUUAAUUUGAUAUUUUGAAUAAAGAAAUAAAAUGACCUGAUUAAAAAUAGAAAUUGGGUAUAAAUUUACUCGAAAAUUAAAUCGGACACAUUAAAAUAAUCAGCACAAUAUACUUAUUGAAAAAAUACAGCGUUUCUUCAAAUUCUGAAAUAAAAACAAUUCUAAAUCACCUUAUAAUUCUAAUUAAUCUACAAUUAUUUCUAAAAAAAAGAAAUCUAAUUAAAUUCUAAAAUAUUUUCAAAGAUUAAAUUCUAAAAUCAUUCUAAAUUAAAUUAAAAUUUUAAAACAAUUCUAAAUUAUUAUAAUUCUAAAAUUAACAUAUGAAAUUAUUCUAAUAUAACCCUAACAUUAAUCAAGAUAGUGUCCUAAUUCUUUAAAGUGAUACUAAUAUUCACAAAAACUGUUCUUAGCAUAUUACAGGUUAUGUGUGUAAACAAGUGGUACUUAAAAAACUAUAGGAAAGAGAGGGGAACGGUGGAUCUCUCCUCCCUCCAAUCAAUAAUUGGCCUUUUUUAAAACUCACAAACAUAUAAUGGAUUAUUAACACAUGUUUCCCCUUUUUUUAAACAAAUAAAUGCAUAAACACCUAACUGAGACAAAAAGGAAACACCAGGGAGGCGAAUCACGCUCAUCUCUCUCCAUCAUCCAUCAUGUGCAUCAUAAUCCAAAACCAAAUAACAUACAAACAAAGCCUAUCAAUAAUCAUGGAAAUGUAUUCCAAAAAUACAGAACAUACACAAUUUAUUAACAAAAAUGCAACUCUUUAGUCAUAGGUUAAUCUUGACAAUAACAGGGAAGGAAAUAAUCCACAGCAUCAUCAAAUUCAAACGACGCCAUACAAAACAAAAACCAACAUAAUGUAAUAGUAACGGGAGAAUGGUCAUCACAAUCAGUAACCUAACACGUUUUAUAUAUUGUUCAAACUACGAAUACGUUUGUUUGUAAUACCUGUGUAGGAAAUCAAAGGUGCAGCAACAAUACGGCGCAACCGACUCGUUGUUCCCGGCUUUGAAACUCUAUUUGGACUUGGUAAUAACUUGACUCGUUCGCUAGAAUGGAGAGCUUCGCCGAGCUUACGAUGUACUCUUGAACCGGUGUUGUCGGCAACCGUAAAAAGUUUUCAACUCAGAGGGUGUUGGAUCCAAAACUACAACAAAUAAAAUCACCUGCAAAAAAAAAACAACACCCACAAGUGGAAACAGAUUGCAAUAAACGACGAGUCUCAGAAACAUUGGAUCAAUAUUUGCCGAAAGAGUAUCAGUUGAUAUCCGGCACAACUCAGCAGCUGUGUUGAAACGAAAUCGAUGUCGAGAUUUUAAAGUGGACUUGUGAAGGCCGCGAGCGAGUUUACGGCAUGGCAGGAGUUGUCAUGGGCGGUGGUGGUUGAACAAUUAUGUUGCAAAUUGUUGGUGGAGCUGCGAAAUUGAAGGAGGUCUUGUGGAGGUGGAGACGGAGCGGAAAGAUUUUGAGGUUUAUGAGGUGUAGGAAGGCGGGUUUCCGACGUCUGUAGCGGUUUGGAUUAGGUGUAGGAGCUAGAGGGAGAUCGAUUGUUGGCGUUGAGAAAUGGAUUCACGACGGUUAUGGGUUGAGGAUGGAGGCCGACGGUGUUUGUGUGAUUGCCGACGGAGGCGUGGUUUCCGGCAAUUCAACGAAGGGUGAAGGAGAGAUGAACAGUGAGAGACCUUUUUUUUCGUUUUUUUAGAGAGGGUGACAGUCAUUAAAGAGUGUGAGGUAGCGUGAGGGAGUGAGAGAGAUGAUGGAGAGUGAUUUUGUGUGUGGCUCUAGGUAAUAGGCAAAGAGAGUCUAUGUAUGUGAGUGGAG